GAAUCAGGUUUCCCUGAUACUCUCUGAGUGACUGGAUUCAGCCAUGCCUGAAGCCAGCCUACCUCUCAGCUUUUCAGCUACAGUAUCACUGAAUUCUCUUUUGGCUUAAAAUAAUUUACACGGGGUUUUGUGCCUCCUGACUCACAGCAGGAUGCCUUGAAGAAUCCUCCAGUAGGCUCAUUGCAGAGAAGACCACACAAGGACCAAUAACAAACCAUGGACUGUUGAGGUGACAUCACCAAGAUGGCAGCGGGGUAGUUCCUGACUUCACUCUCCCUUGAAAGAAGAACAACUAACAAGUAUUCAUGGACGAGAUACCAACGAGAGACUCUGAGAACCAUGUGGUUGAUAUGGAGCCCCUGUUUGAGUUUCUUGAGCCAUACAGAAAAUUCCAGUUGGCUAUCUAUUUUACAAAUGGUAAUGUAAGUUUUCAUGUUCCAUGUAUCUCACCUUCUCCUUCCCUUUCCCCAUGUCCAUAAGUCUAUUCUCUAUAUCUAUUUCUCCAUUUCUGCCCUGUAAGUAAAUUCUUCAGUACCAUUUUCCUAGAUUCUGUAUAUAUGCAUUAGAAUACAAUAUUUAUCUUUCUCUUUCUGACUUACUUCACUCUGUAUAAUAG
ensembl:lncRNA